rnacentral:rRNA from 1 species
ACGAACGCUGGCGGCGUGCUUAACACAUGCAAGUCGCACGGAAAGGCCCUGCUUUUGUGGGGUGCUCGAGUGGCGAACGGGUGAGUAACACGUGAGUAACCUGCCCUUGACUUUGGGAUAACUUCAGGAAACUGGGGCUAAUACCGGAUAGGAGCUCCUGCUGCAUGGUGGGGGUUGGAAAGUUUCGGCGGUUGGGGAUGGACUCGCGGCUUAUCAGCUUGUUGGUGGGGUAGUGGCUUACCAAGGCUUUGACGGGUAGCCGGCCUGAGAGGGUGACCGGCCACAUUGGGACUGAGAUACGGCCCAGACUCCUACGGGAGGCAGCAGUGGGGAAUAUUGCACAAUGGGCGGAAGCCUGAUGCAGCAACGCCGCGUGCGGGAUGACGACCUUCGGGUUGUAAACCGCUUUCGCCUGUGACGAAGCGUGAGUGACGGUAAUGGGUAAAGAAGCACCGGCUAACUACGUG